UCAAAUGAAAACCAUUAGCAGGAAUAUCUUUAAAACUUAACAUGGUUCCUUAGAAUGUUGUGGAUAGUUCCACUAUCUGCGAAGCACUCAAUGUCUCUAUGAGACAUAACUACAAGGAGUAGAUAGGCGAGUAAAUAGUUCUACUUGAACCAUUUAGAAGGAUUGAAAGAAGCUACGAAAAGCUGCAAUCCCGAGAGUGCAUAAAAAUUUCCGCGCAGAAUGACCUUUGCGCACUAAAACAGCCAUAACUUCUUCGUUAAAAUAGAUAUUGACGAACCGUGAAAAUUUAUGAAAACUAGACUCGUAGAGCUUUCCAAUGAUAUAAAGCUCAUUGUCUGGUUCGUCCGGAGCUGUUCAAAAAGCUCAAACGAAGUUGACUGUCCAGAAGGGACAGAUUGCUGUUUUUCGCAGAUUUGGCAUGUGCGAAGCUGUGAAGCUCGCAGGUGGCGUGUAGGCUUUUGCCUUAGCCAAAAGUGACGUGUGUAUGAUCAAAACCAAGUCCUUUCGGUCGUUCUAAGGUCGUGAACUCCAUGAAUAGUUAGCAAAAGCUCCCUGACAUGAACAUAAACUAACUCAGAGGACUUAGAGGAUCCGAUCAUGAUGAUAAUUUUCCAGCUUUGAUAAGUCUUCAACGUCUUUUGUAAGACGGCAAUUGGUUUAAUAGCGUAGGGGGAUCCAAAAUCAAAAGCUUUCGGUAACUCCAAGUCAGUAUGACCAGGCAUGUCCGUGGAGGGUCGGUAGUGCGAGGCACACUUAAAACCACUAUCUCCUUAAUUUCGGACAAUUCUAAGAUAUCACACUGAGCUUGGAUGAGCCUAGUUGAACAAUUGAUGAUGAAAAAUCCGCUAUAGGGUAGAAGACUUAACCGGAAACACGUGGGCGAUCCUCCUUGAGGAUGCAGUGCCAAGAGUCACCUUCAAAGGAAGGGACCAAAAAUCGGCACAAUAUGCCAUGUUUCUAAGGACCAUGUAAGUGUACAUCUUGAUUGUAAAUCAAUAUGAACCAUA
rnacentral:lncRNA from 1 species